rnacentral:tRNA from 1 species
GGCGGCGUAGCUCAGGGGUUAGAGCACCCGGCUCAUAAUCGGGAUGUCGGUGGUUCGAGUCCACCCGCCGCUA